GACUUGGUGGUUGUCCUAGGCGAGCAACUGAUUUAUUCUUACGGAUGGAAAGUAUUGGUCUUUGAGGUGGGAAAUAAUGGACUCUGUUUUAUGCUAAGUAGAAUUUCACAUGGACCAUUGGAAAAGUGUGGGCCUUGGAUGUGACCUUAAUAUAUGGAUAGGAGUUCCCUGGUGGCUCAGCAGUUUGAGGAUCUGGUGUUGUCACUGCUGCGGCUCUGGUUACAGCUGUGGUGCGGGUUCCAUCCCUGGCUUGGGAAAUUCCACAUGCCGUGGGUGAAGCCCCCCCCCCAAAAAAAAUAGAAUGUAUGGACAGAUUUUUUCUUUUCAGGGAUUGAACCUGAGCCACAGCUGCAACCUAUGCUGGAUCCUUUAACCCACUGUGCUGAGCGGGGAAUCAAGCCACUGCAGUCAGAUUCUUAACCCACUGUGCCAUGGCGGCAAUGCUAAUAUGAUUAUAUUUUUUUCCCCUAUUUUUGGGCCACCUCAAGACAUAUGGAGUUCCUGGGCCAGGGAUCAGAUCUGAGCUGCAAUUGCGACCUAAGCUACAGCUGCAGCAAUGCAGGAUCCUUAACCCCCUGUGUUGGGCUGGGGACUGAACCUGUGUCCCAGUGCUCCCAAGAUGAUGCCAAUCCUGUUGUGCCACAACGAGAGCUCCUACAUGAUCUAUUUUUGUAAUGAAUAAAGAGCAACAAUAAACUAUCACCAAAGUUACAAAUAGAUAAAUUAUGAAGUUAUUUACAUU
rnacentral:lncRNA from 9 species